rnacentral:rRNA from 1 species
UACGGGAGGCAGCAGUGAGGAAUAUUGGUCAAUGGGCGAGAGCCUGAACCAGCCAAGUAGCGUGAAGGAUGACUGCCCUAUGGGUUGUAAACUUCUUUUAUAAAGGAAUAAAGUCGGGUAUGCAUACCCGUUUGCAUGUACUUUAUGAAUAAGGAUCGGCUAACUCCGUGCCAGCAGCCGCGGUAAUACGGAGGAUCCGAGCGUUAUCCGGAUUUAUUGGGUUUAAAGGGAGCGUAGAUGGAUGUUUAAGUCAGUUGUGAAAGUUUGCGGCUCAACCGUAAAAUUGCAGUUGAUACUGGAUAUCUUGAGUGCAGUUGAGGCAGGCGGAAUUCGUGGUGUAGCGGUGAAAUGCUUAGAUAUCACGAAGAACUCCGAUUGCGAAGGCAGCCUGCUAAGCUGCAACUGACAUUGAGGCUCGAAAGUGUGGGUAUCAAACAGGAUUAGAUACCCUGGUAGUCCACACGGUAAACGAUGAAUACUCGCUGUUUGCGAUAUACGGCAAGCGGCCAAGCGAAAGCGUUAAGUAUUCCACCUGGGGAGUACGCCGGCAACGGUGAAACUCAAAGGAAUUGACGG